CCUCUCUUGCUGUUUUGCAUAAUGUCUUGUCUCUCCAGAAAAAAGGUAACCUUAAACACUAAAAACCUCACCUUCUAAACAGCCAUUCUGAAUACCUAGCCUUGAUUUCCUUGCUAAACUAUUUUUAAUGAGAACCACUGGAACCUAUAAAUGAAUGUUAAGAGCUAGUUGACUGGAGGAUAGGUUUAAGUGUGUAUACUUUCGCAUGACGGAUCAACAGACUAGUUAUGCUUGUGCUUUGGUGAAAAUUUUCUAGACUAUCCUUGAUUUGAGCAUAGUGACUAAC
rnacentral:lncRNA from 1 species